rnacentral:rRNA from 1 species
GUGCCAGCAGCCGCGGUAAUACGUAGGUGGCAAGCGUUGUCCGGAAUUAUUGGGCGUAAAGCGCGCGCAGGUGGUUCCUUAAGUCUGAUGUGAAAGCCCACGGCUUCACCGUGGAGGGGCAUUGGAAACUGGGAGACUUGAGUGCAGAAGAGGAACGUGGAAUUCCAAGUGUAGCGGUGAAAUGCGUAGAGAUUUGGAGGAACACCAGUGGCGAAGGCGACUUGCUGGU